rnacentral:tRNA from 1 species
GACACGGUGGCACAGCGGUUAGCACUGUCGCCUCACAGCAAGAGGGUCGCGGGUUCGAAUCUCGGCUUGGGGCU